UGCAUGGCCAUAGUAAUGGGAGAUCGCCUAUGCCUUCUUCCGUCAAUGUGCUGCAAAGUGAUCUCCCUCAGCUGGACGCACUAGUACACAACCGUGAUUUGAAGGCAUUUUCGUAAAGGCAUUUUCUUAAAAUGCCGAAAAUGCCUUAGUUACUUAAUACAUAAAGGCAUUUCUCUAAAAUGGCCACUGAAAACGUUGCAUUUGGAGGCAAAACUGAAAUACACCUAAAUACAUACACUACUUGGGGCGUUUUGUAAAAAUGCCCGCUAAGAACAGAGGCAUUUUCUUCAAAAAUACCUUCGUAUCCUUGUCAUACAUGCAUAAAAGCCAUAGUUCUAUUUGAGUUGAUUUACUAAUUAGUCACAUCCAAAAAAGAAACCUGGAAUACAACUUGAGGUAAACCAUAGUUCUAUUUGAGUUGAUUUACUAAUUAGUCACAAUUGCCAUUCAGUUUUCUCUUCAGGUCUUAGGAAACAAGGAAUAUUGUGUUACCAUGUCUGGAAAAAACAAAGUGCAAGAUACUAGAUACCACAGCAUACUCACCAGCAAAAAGGAAAGGACAAACCAGCUCAAUAAAGCCUUCCAGAGAAAGUAAAGAAACCAAGAAAAUUUAAGACACCACUCAAUAAGGAUGAGGUGAAAGAUAUAAAGUGUGGCAUGGACGUUGGUUUGGAGUCACCAAAUAGUAAAAGGAUGGCGGCAUUGGGGACCAUUCAGAAAACUGAUAGCAAAGCUAAAGCAAGUGAUGGUUAUCCAUUGGCAGAUUGUGUUGAGGUCCUUGACAGUGUUGUUUUUAACCAAACAACCAUAUUGCCUCGUGCACAUGGGAAGAUACAGAACCUGGUAAAUGCAAGUGCCCGUUGUAUAGCAUGGCCAAAGAAAAAUGUAUGUUCUGUGCGCUUAAGUGGGACCAUAGAGCAAAAAAGGUCAACAUCAAAAUCUGAGGUUUCCAAGUUUAACAACGCUCAGGGCGCUUCACAAACCAUGUCUGAAAACAAGCUAGCAAGGAGGUGUCUAAAGAAAAAACAACAUCUUGAUGUUAGUACAUUUAAAAGAAGCAUGAAUCAAGUGAGGACGACAGGAAGGCAAGGAACAUCCAUUGAGUACAGAGUUAAAGUUUGAUAUACAGCUUGAUUCGAAAAGUUUUUUUUUGUCUAAUCAAGUGAGCAAGCAAUUUCACUCAUUCAGGAGGCAGGAUAUAAGGAACAAUAUUUGGAGAUGGAUAUUUAUUCAUUUUUCUAGCUUCAUUGAUUGUGUUUAGUUACAGAUAUGGAUACAAAACCAGGAACAUAUGAAAUGUUAAGUGAUUGAAAAUAACAGACAUGAAUGUAUGAUCUUGUUAGUUCAUUUUCAAAUACAAUUGCUUGAUUUGGGUCA